UACGGGGGGAGCAAGCGUUGUUCGGAUUUACUGGGCGUAAAGGGCGCGUAGGCGGUCAGCACAAGUCAGUUGUGAAAUCUCCGGGCUUAACCCGGAAAGGUCAACUGAUACUGUGCGACUAGAGUGCGGAAGGGGCAACUGGAAUUCUCGGUAUAGCGGUGAAAUGCGUAGAUAUCGAGAGGAACACCUGCGGCGAAGGCGGGUUGCUGGGCCGACACUGACGCUGAUGCGCGAAAGCCAGGGGAGCGAACGGG
rnacentral:rRNA from 1 species